GAGGUUGUUUCUAGAAGCCAGCCAGGCACAUCAAUUUUCAUGUCUUCUUGUUUUAUUUUUUGCACAGAGGAUGUUGGCACUAAGAGGCAGGACUUGACAAGGAAGAUUUUGGGAAAUGACUCAUUUGGAAUUUGUUGGAGGAGUCUGAAACUGGUGAAACUUCAGCCUUUGGAACAAAAAAAAAGUGUCAGCUGUUUGGCCCUGCAGGGGUUUGGGAAGGCAAGGAGGCCAGCUACAGGUGCAAAGCAGCUUCAUCACUGGAGGGACACCAUGCCGAAGGUGGGAAUGGUAAUAAUGAUGAAAUAG
rnacentral:lncRNA from 1 species